AUAAGAACAUUUCUGUUUCUGGGUACACCUCCUAGCUGACCAAAAAUUAUGAACAAUAGGAAAUUUAAGAGCCAGUAUGCAAAUUAAUUAAUUUUUAUUAAGUAUCUAUUGGAUUCUUAGCAAGAAGAGGAGCUAUGAAUGGAAAAUUACACAGUAAAAAAACAUUUUUAUCUAAUAUUUAUUUCAUAUACACAAGAAAUGUUAAGAAAACCUAGAGUAAGAACCUGCCCUUGUGUGCCGACUAAUGAUUGUUCUGCUUUGAAAAUCUGCUUUGUGACUGGCCAUGUGAACUUGAGUGAGCCACUUCUCCUCUCUGCACUUCAGCCCUUCAUCUUUAAAUUGAAGGAUUGGAUCACAGGAAUUCAUUGUUCCUCAAAUAUCCUUGGGGACAUUUGACUACAUAAGUAUCUUCUUUUGUUACUUUACAUAAAUUCUUGAGCCUUAGAAAAAUAUCAAGGAAAAAGUGAGAAUGACCUACUGUUAAUCACAGAUUAUCAGAGUCUAAAGAAAUAUUCUCUACUCCAACAUUUUACUUCAAAAAUGUGGAAACGGAAAUGCAGAAAUACGAAUUAAGUGGCCUAAGAGCACAGUCCGUGGUAGAGCCAAGUCCUGCAAUCUAGUUCUCUUGCUUCUGUUUCUAAUUAAGGAAUUUCAUAAUCCUCCCAAAUGUAUAGCUUUAUUUUCAUCUGAAAGUCCUGUUAGUAUUUACUGAGGUUCAUUUGUUUGUUUCCCACAGCUUUUUGAUAUUUAACUAGUCAUUAAAAACUCAGAUAGCAUGAGAAAUAGCAAGGGCAGAUCUCAAUAAUUUUCUUUUAGGGAACAGAAGUAAUAUUUAAAUCAUAACUUUCCAUCACCUCUUCCUCCUACCUAGCACAACUUAGACAUCUCUUAGACAAAAAAAUACAUAUAGUUGAAAAGAAAACUAUUAUAAAAACUUAGAUGUUAAUAACAUGUUAAUAAUAUUGGGGAAGAGAGAGCUAUAAAUAAAGAUAUCAAAACUUUUGUAUUCAUACCUACAUAAAGAAACAUGAUUUACUAAGAGUAGUUAUUUCUCACAAAAUUACAGUUACAUUUUGGGAAGCAAUGGUCAAAUAAGUUGCAAACAUUAGCUUGUAGUGUUCUGAAGCCAUCUAGAACAAGAACUACAAAUAGGACUUAUAGUUGUUUCAUAUCAAUAAUGCUAUAAUACUUGUUGAUGUAUGUGAAUAUCCUGGAAAUUUGCCUGACCUUCUAAAACAUGUCCUUUCCAUGAACUUCUGUUUAGCAAUAUCUCAACAAGGAAAGGAAGGCAGUUGAUGUGAUUUUAAUAUCAUAAGGGAGAGCUGGCACACAGAGAUACUUUUUAAAAAAUGGUUUUACUAUAUUUCAUUCUAUGGACUAUAAUCCAAUUAAUUACUUGAUUUCCUUUUAUGGCAUACUCAUGCUGUUUCCAAGUUCUCUUUUUUAGCAAUGCUAUAAUGAUGUACACUUCUCCCAGAAACAUGGGAUAACACCUAUUUCCCCCAAAAUCAGACGACAUGCUUUUUAACAUUAUAAAUUUUUUCCUAUCUCAGGAAAAAUUGCUAAAUUUUAGGGAAAAUUUUUUAUAUAACAACCUUUCCUUCUUUGAAGGAAAUGCUUUAUGUUCCUUUUAGUUCAGAAAACCACUCAGUAAGGACAAGCCUCUAUUUAUGUUCUUUAGAAACACUUCCAUGUGGCAGCUGAAAACAGAAGUAAUAAAGAACUAUAGAAAACAGUGCUUGUGGCAUUAAAAUGAGUGGAAAAGAGAUGGGAAAUCCACUUAAAUAGUUACAUCUGGGAAGAAAUGUCUCACCAGUUCAUCAACAGUGGUCUCAACAUGUCUUUGAUAGUGAAAUGGACUCCAACAUUCAGAGGUCACCUUAGAAAUUAGAAAAGGAAAUAGAGACAACUAAUGUUAACAUUCUUUAAAAAACAAAACAAAAAAACUCCACAAAGCUACCAAACUAAUUGGGAAAGGAUUCGCUGUCUUAAUUAGAAAUAAUUAUCUUGUUAUCAAAGUACACUGAUUAAUGUUUCAUCAGUGACUUCAUCUGCAUAUAUACACAUAUAUAGACAAAUAUGGAAUAUGUGUAUGUAUACAUAGUAUAUACACAUUAUAUAUCCAUAUAUGUGUGUGUGAUAUGUGUAUGUGUCUAUGUGUAUUAGAUUCACUCCUCAGCCCUCACAUAGAGCAAUUCCAAUCCAUGAUCUCACAUUUAGAAGGGUUGGUGGAAAGGGGGGAUCCCGAAUGUUUUAUGAAGCAGCCCACUCUAAUCCCUUAGUGCUCUACAUUAUUAGGUACACAAUGGACAUCCAUUUUAGAUACUCUAAUUGAGUUUAAACUCAAGCCAAAUACACAUUUGGAUUAAUAUCUCAAGUCAUAGUGUGGGAUGUCUUUUAUUACAUUUGGUACCUGUCAGUGUAACCUUCUAACUGUCAGCUUCUACUCCUUUUGAAAACUUUAUGUACCUGAUAUCAAACAAUUUCUACCUAGGGCACUUCAGGACUGCAGCAAAGGGCAUUUGAUGGAGUCUAUAACAGGUAAUAAAAUGGUGCUGUGGUCUGAAUAUUUGUGUUGCCCCCAAAUUAAUAUGUUGGAAUGUAAUACACAAUAUGAUAGUGUAUUAGUCCAUUUUCACAUUGCUGUGAAGAAAUACCUAAGACUGGGUAAUUUACAAAGAAAAGAAGUGCAAUUUGCACACAGUUCUACAGGCUGUACAAGAAACAUAGUGGCUUCUGCUGUAGGGGAGGCCUCAGGAAGCCUCCAGUCAUGGUGGAAGGCAAAGGGGGAGCAGGUUUUCUUACAUUUCAGGAGCAAGAGCAAAAGAAUGAAGGCGGAGGGGCUACACACUUGUAAACAACCAGAUCUCAUGAGAACUCACUUACUGUCAUGAGAACAGCUCCAAUGGGUUAAUGCUAAACCAUUCAUGAGAAAUCCAAUCCCAUGAUCUAAUCACCUCCUACCAGGCCCCACCUACAACACCAGGAACCACAGUUCAACAGGAGAUUUGGGCAGGAACACUUACACAAAUUAUAUCAGAUUGUAUUAAGAGGUGGGGCUUUUGCGGAAGUAACUAAGUCAUGAGGGCCCUCAUGAAUGGAAUUAGAGCCCUUAUAAAAGUGGUUGAGGGGAGCUGCCUUGCUCCCUUUUUGAAGCAGACACUGAAUCUGCUGGUGCCUUGUCUUGGACUUCUCAGCCUCUAGAGCUGUGGGAAAUAUGUUUCUGUUUUUACAAAUUACCCAGCCUAAGGUACUUUGCUAUAGCUGCCUGAAAGAACUAAGACAAAGGUGAUUUCAAAUUUUAUUCUGAGGAGAGUCUGCAAUGAGAUUAAGAGGAAUUUAGAGACAGGGAAAUAUGAAUAUUCAUUAAACAUCUUGAGGGAGUAUGCUCCUUUAUUUAAAUAUUUAUGACAAUCGCAAGAAGUUUUAUUGUCACUAUUUUACACAUAAGGAAAUUGAAGCACAGAGAGUUUAAGCAACAAGUUUAAAGUCCAGUGUUUUUACUCAUAUAAAUGUAAGGCAAGUUUGGUUUCCAUAAAGUCUAAACCCCAGCAGAAUUCUGGAGUUCUAGCACACAAAAUAUAGCCAAAGAGCAAGAGGUUUGAAGCAGAAAACUGACAAAGUAGCUGAAGUGACUGCAACAAGUACUAAGUGGUUGGAUUUUAUUUUUGACACAGUAUAUAAGAGUGCAUUUACUAGCCAUUUUCUGGGCUGCGAAAUUCCUUUUUAAAAAUGCAUGAGAAUGAUGCUAAGGAAUACCAAAUAAGUCCUCUCAAUCUUUUAGGGAAAUCAAAAAGUAAAACACCCAUACAUUUAUGGAGUUCAUUCAUAAAAAUUAUUUGUUAGAAUCAAGUAUUUCCUCUUUUUUAAAUAAAAGCUAAAUGUAGAGUUGCUUAAACUCUCUUCUUUAAACGUGAAAGUACACAUCAUUAAUGCAGUAUAACUUCGGAUAAGGAAAUGAGAGAAUCCAAUAUGAUCUUAAUUUUAUUUCACCGGAAACAAGAGAUUUGCAUUCCAUUUUAAUAACCUGUUUCUUUAAUACCAACAAAAGCCACUCUUGAAAGUCUUCUACUAUUAAAGAGGAGAUUAGAUUUUUUUUCAAGAUAACGAAAUAUAGCCCUAUAUUCUUUCUACCUGCAAAAUAAGUUAUAAUCCUGCUCUUUGGAAGUAGAAAACUUCUCUGUCUAUAACCUCAAAAUACUAUUAGGUAGUUCUAGUGGUUUUAAAAUACACUCACAAAUUCUUUUACACUGAAGAGGUCUUCAGAAGGUGGAACCUAAGACUGCCCCUCACCCUUAGUGUGAGCUGGAUUUAGUGAGUUGCUUCUAACAAAUAGAAUAAAAUGGAAGUGAUGAUGUUUAACUUCUGAAAUUAGAUCUUAAAAGGAAUUGUGGCCUCUUCUUGUUCUGUGUCUUAGAUACUCACUCUGGGGAAACCAGAUGACAUUCUGCGAAGACACUCAGCCUCAUGGAUAGACCAAAGUGGCAAGGGACCUAUCCCUGCAGUCAAUUCCCAUAAAAAAACUGAGGUCACCUACCUAUAGCCAUGAGAGGGAGUUAGAAACAAACCUUUCAGCCCCAGUCAAGCCUUCAGAUAACACCUUGAGCGACACUAACCACCUGAGAUUAUAACCACAUGAGAGACUCUAAGCUAGAAAUGCCCAGCUAUACCACUCCCCAACUCCUGACCCACAGGGACUGUGAAAUAAUUUUUUUUGUUUGUUUUAAGCCCCUAAAUUUUAAAGUAAUUUGUUAUGCGUCAAUAGAUUUGUAAUACAAUAGUUAAAAGUCAUAUAAUGGAUAAGAAAGUACUUGAAAUAAGAAACAUUGAUCAAUACACAAUAUCAUUAUUUUGUCAUAAUAUAAUCAUGUCAUACAUAAAGACUAUCAUUUGGUUGACACUGUCAUUUUGGACUCUUUUUGUUUGUUUGUUUUCCCCCUUUUAGAUUGUUCACACUUUUGUUUAGAACUCCCUCAAAUCUGUCUGAUAAAACCUAGUGAAAGACCUGUCUCUCCUGCUUGUUAAUAUAUCACAGCAUAACCUUAAAUUAUUUCUCCAGUGACCCAGCGUUGUGACCUCAGUUAAGCUCAUGAAAAAUUGGUCCCAUUUUGUCCAUUCUACACGCAUCUCCCAAAAAUUGUGUGCUAUGUUGGAUACAGUUUUAAUUCUGUACAUAGCCAAUGGGAUGUGUAUGGCCAAUAUUUUAUUUGUUAGUAAUCCAAUUUUCAUCUUAAGGACUAAAUGACUAACUCUAAAUGCUGGUUACACUACAUGAGAACUGAAGGAGGCUAGUUUAGUUUGUGCAAUAAGAGGUGAGUCUAGACACUGUUUAACUGUGGACACAGUUUUGUCUGAUUGCUUACAUAGAGCAGAGUUUAGCAUUAGCAAAAGUGAUUGUUUUAAAAAUAAGGUAUCAGAAAUGUAUUCGGCUUUGAGGAAGAGAAUAACCAACAGUGGUGGCUUAAACAAGUAUGGGGCUUAUGUUUCUGUAAAAUAGAAGUGCAGACAUAGGGUUUCCAACCCGGGUGCCGCUUCUCAAGGAUGUCCUCAGUGAAUCAGGCUCUAUGCAUGUGCCUGUUCCACCAUCCUUCAUGUGUGCCUUUGCCUCACGGCUGGAAGACAGCUGCUGACUUACCAGGUAUUACAUCCAGCUCCAGGCAGGAAAGAGAGCAAAAAACAAAGCUUUAUCCUCAUGAGACUCUGCCUUAUUUUUUUUAUUUUCCAGAAAAGAAAGUCCUCCUCUGGAAUUUCUGACUAUAUUUCAUUGGCCACAACUGGAUUCCAUGGCCACCCCUAACUACUGGGGAGGCUGAGAAUUCAAAUGCUGAAAAUUGCAAUCUCCAUAGUGAAAGACACGAAGAAAGAAAUUGAUUGAAAUGGGUUAAUUAAUUCAAUUAGCAACACUUUUUCUCAGCAAAGGAGCUGAGAAAGAAAAUGUUUUGGUUCAGUCCUGGGUAGGGGUGCUUGACAGUGCUUAAUAUCACCAGCACUGAAGGUAAUAAAUAUUAUCUCUCUUUUCUAUCAUGAAUAUGAAUGAUACUCUGAAGGCUGAAUGCAACCUCAGAAUUUAAGUGAGAAAUGAGGCAUGCAACACUUUUGAAAAUAUAUUAGCCCAAAGUCUGUAUUACUGCAUAUUUUAUUCCCCUUUUAAUAUGCUACAAAAGGUUUGAGCCAUCAGCUGAAUGCUGCCAGAGAAGAACAAACAAGAACAAGAAUGCAAAAAUAAAUGCUGGGAGUCAAGUUUUCCCAAGAUGUUCUUUAUAGUUGGUGUAUGAUCACAUUUCUAAGCAGACUGCUUUGCUUCAAGCUCUACCCAUCAGCACUUCUUCCACAAGCCUGGUUCUCCAGGAAGUUUAUCCCGGGCUAACUAUGCAGAAAUAUACGUGGGGCAAAGUGGGUACUGGAGAAAGCAUUCCAUGAACUCCUUCUUUUGCCCUGCUACCUGAUUCUGUGUAACUUCUUCCAUGCCUGAGAUCUUCUCUUCCAUUUUGAGAACAUGAAGGAAACAUGUUUGCUUAAGUACGUUCUGGUUGGGAAUUAAAUAUUUAAUUCUGAUCAUUUUUAGUGUCUGAAAUAUAUUUCGUAAGCAUGGUCAUAUGAUAAUUAUAACUAUAAAAUGUUUUACAUUCUACAAACUUUAUCCCAUGUUACUAAUAUUCAGGAAAUGAUCAUAGGAAAAUAUUUGCACUAGGAUACUAUUCAUUAUUUUAACUCUUUCUAUUUAUACAUAGUUUUAAGAAAUUCUACAAUGAAUUUAUAUCAUCUUCAUAAUAGGGAACAAAAAUAAACUUCACUUUUUCCAUGAGGCUGUUGUCUUCCAAGACCAUACCUAAGCCAAGUUUGGGUUUAUAAAGUCAAAAUCAUGAGAUAUCCCAUCUGUGAACAAAUACUCAUGGCUAUAAUUUGGACGUUUGUUGUUUCCAAACUUCAUGUUGAAAUUUGACCCUCAAUAUUGGAUGUGGGGUGAUAUGGUUUCAUUGUGUCCUCACAAAAAAUCUCAUCUUGAAUUGUAAUCCCCAUAAUUCCCACGUGUCAAGGGCGGGAUCAGAUGGAGGUAACUGGAUCAUGGAGGCAGUUUCCCCCAUGCUGCUGUCAUAAUAAUGAGUGACUCUCAUGAGAUCUGAUGGUUUUAUAAGCAUCUGGCAUUGCCCUUGCUUGCACUCACUUCAUCCUGCCACCCUGUGAAGAAGGUGCCUGCUUCUCCUUAGCCUUCUGCCAUGGUUGUAAGUUUCCUGAGGCCUCCCCAGCAAGGCAAAACUGUGAGUCAAUUAAACCUCUUUCCUUUAUAAAUUACUUAGCCUCGGGUAUUUCUUCAUAACAUUGUGAGAGAGGACUAAUACAUGGGGCCUAAUGGCAGGUGUUUGGGUUAUGGGGCUGAAUCCUUCUACAAUAGGUUAAUGUUCUCCCUCAGUGGUGAGUUCUCACUCUAUUAGUUCCUGCGAGAGCCAGUUGUUUCAAAGAGCUAGGGGUGCACCUCUCCCUGCCUUGCUUCCUCUUUUGCCUUGGAAUCUCUGGGUCCCCUUCACCUUCAGCCAUGAGUGGAAGCAGCCUGAGACCUUCACCAAAUGCAGAUGCCCAAUCUUGAACUUUCCAGCCAUCAUAAUUGUGACCCAAAUAAACCUUUUUCUUUAUAAACUACCCGGUCUCAAGUAUUUCUUUAUUUUGUUUUUAUUAUUGUUUCUUUAUUUUGUGUUGUAUUAUUGCAACACAAAAUGGACUAAGACACUCACCAACUCUCUUGAAUUCAAGAGUUUCAUGGUUUGUGUACUGAAUAUUGUCACAUAAAAAUACCACUUCCUAGGCUCCAGUCAUGACGAUCCAGGUGAACAGGAGUAUGGCACCAAAGUCUGCCUUUUUAAGUAAUACUCCAGUUGAGGCUGAUACAGACAGUUCUCAGAUACACUUGGAAAAACACUUAUCUGAUAGUCAUUUGUUCACUGAUGGAAGGCCAAGUUUCAUGCCAUAGUCCACUCUUAUGCACACUGACAAGCCACUUUGCUACUCACACCAGCUUCUCCAUUUGACAGUGGCUGCCUCUCUUCCCCAUCUUUCAACAGAUAGUUUGCAUCUCCUUCUCCUCAGUCACAAGGAGUUAAUAAAUUAAUAUUUUGCAUAACACUCUUUGUUAAACUAUUCUGUCAUAUAGAUAAGUGUUUCUUAGUUAAAUUCAAUUGAAUGUCUACUGUGAAUAAAAUUUAGAUAAGACCAGUGCCU
rnacentral:lncRNA from 1 species